rnacentral:rRNA from 1 species
ACGCACGCUGGCGGCGUGCUUAACACAUGCAAGUCGCACGGUGAAGCGCCUUCCUUUUUGGGGGGGUUGGUUGAGGGGCGACCGGGUGAGUAACACGUGAGUAACCUGCCCCCUUCUUCUGGAUAACCGCAUGAAGGUUUGGCUAAUACGGGAUUUUCUGGGUCUUUCGCAUGAUGGUUUUGGAAAAGAUUUUGUUUCGGGGGGGAUGGGGCUGCCGGCCUUUCAGCUUGUUGGUGGGGUUGUGGCCUACCAAGGGGGUGCCGGGGUGCCGGCCUGAGGGGGGGGACGGUCAAACUGGGACGGAGACACGGCCCAGGCUCCUACGGGAGGGAGGAGGGGGGGAUAUUGGACAAUGGGGGCAAGGCUGAGGGAGCGACGCCGCGUGAGGGAUGGAGGCCUUCGGGUUGGGAACCUCUUUCGCCAGGGAAGCAGGCCUGCCUCGGUGGUGGGUGGGUUGACGGUAGCUGGAUAAGAAGCGCCGGCUAACUACGU